UAGGGAAUCUUCCACAAUGGACGCAAGUCUGAUGGAGCAACGCCGCGUGAGUGAAGAAGGUUUUCGGAUCGUAAAGCUCUGUUGUUGGUGAAGAAGGAUAGAGGUAGUAACUGGCCUUUAUUUGACGGUAAUCAACCAGAAAGUCACGGCUAACUACGUGCCAGCAGCCGCGGUAAUACGUAGGUGGCAAGCGUUGUCCGGAUUUAUUGGGCGUAAAGCGAGCGCAGGCGGGAGAAUAAGUCUGAUGUGAAAGCCCUCGGCUUAACCGAGGAACUGCAUCGGAAACUGUUUUUCUUGAGUGCAGAAGAGGAGAGUGGAAUUCCAUGUGUAGCGGUGGAAUGCGUAGAUAUAUGGAAGAACACCAGUGGCGAAGGCGACUCUCUGGUCUGCAACUGACGCUGAGGCUCGAAAGCAUGGGUAGCGAACAGG
rnacentral:rRNA from 1 species